GAGUUUGAUCAUGGCUCAGAACAAACGCUGGCGGCGUGCAUAACACAUGCAAGUCUAACGGGAAUGUCGGCUUCGGCUGGCUAGUACCGUGGCGAACGGGUGAGUAACACGUGGGUAAUCUAACCUCGAGUUUGGGAUAACCUUGCGAAAGCGGGGCUAAUACCGAAUAAGACCACGCUCAGUUCGCUGAGUGCGGUAAAAGGCGGCCUCUUCUUGAAAGCUGUCACUUGAGGAUGAGCCCGCGGCCUAUUAGCUAGUUGGUGGGGUAAUGGCCUACCAAGGCAACGAUGGGUAGCCGGCCUGAGAGGGUGUACGGCCACACUGGCACUGAGAUACGGGCCAGACUCCUACGGGAGGCAGCAGUGGGGAAUUUUGCGCAAUGGGGGAAACCCUGACGCAGCAACGCCGCGUGAGUGAUGAAGGCCUUCGGGUCGUAAAGCUCUUUUAGUGGGGAAGAAUCCCACCCGGGCUAAUACCUCGGGUGUCUGACGGUACCCACAGAAAAAGUUCCGGCUAACUACGUGCCAGCAGCCGCGGUAAUACGUAGGGAGCAAGCGUUGUUCGGAAUUAUUGGGCGUAAAGAGCGCGUAGGCGGUUCGGUAAGUCUGACGUGAAAUCCCAGAGCUUAACUCUGGAACUGCGUUGGAUACUGCCGAGCUUGAGUGUGGGA
rnacentral:rRNA from 1 species